rnacentral:tRNA from 1 species
UGAAGUAAUAAUUGAUAUGGUGAUUAAUCCAUGAUGGAUGGAUGGUAUAGUCGGUAAUGAUUGUAUAGAUUGGUUCCUUCCAAUCAUUUCUCCC